rnacentral:rRNA from 1 species
AUUGAACGCUGGCGGCAUGCUUUACACAUGCAAGUCGAACGGUAACAGGGUGCUUGCACCGCUGACGAGUGGCGAACGGGGGAGUAAUGCAUCUGAAUGUACCGUGUAAUGGGGGAUAGCUCGGCGAAAGCGGGAUUAAUACCGCAUACGCCCUGAGGGGGGAAGUGGGGGAGCGAAAGUCCGCACGUGAUAUGAGCAGCCGAUGUCUGAUUAGCUAGUUGGUGAGGUAAGGGCUCACCAAGGCGUCGAUCCGAAGCGGGUCCGAGAGGAUGAUCCGACACACGGGGACUGAGACACGGCCCAGACUCCUACGGGAGGCAGCAGUGGGGAAUUUUGGACAAUGGGCGCAAGCGUCAUCCAGCCAUGCCGCGUGUAUGAAGAAGGCCUUCGGGUGGUAAAGGACUGUUGUCCGGGAGGAAAUCCUACUGGUUCAUCUCCGCUGGGUCUGACGGUACCGGAAGAAUAAGCACCGGCUAACUACGUG